rnacentral:tRNA from 1 species
GGGCACGUGGCAGAGAGGACAAUUGCAUCAGACUGUAAAUCUGACGCGCUACGCGCUACGGAGGUUCGAAUCCUUCCGUGCCCACCA